CAAGGGGAGCGGCAGACGGGUGAGUAACGCGUGGGAAUCUACCGUGCCCUACGGAAUAGCUCCGGGAAACUGGAAUUAAUACCGUAUACGCCCUACGGGGGAAAGAUUUAUCGGGGUAUGAUGAGCCCGCGUUGGAUUAGCUAGUUGGUGGGGUAAAGGCCUACCAAGGCGACGAUCCAUAGCUGGUCUGAGAGGAUGAUCAGCCACAUUGGGACUGAGACACGGCCCAAACUCCUACGGGAGGCAGCAGUGGGGAAUAUUGGACAAUGGGCGCAAGCCUGAUCCAGCCAUGCCGCGUGAGUGAUGAAGGUCUUAGGAUUGUAAAGCUCUUUCACCGGAGAAGAUAAUGACGGUAUCCGGAGAAGAAGCCCCGGCUAACUUCGUGCCAGCAGCGGCGGU
rnacentral:rRNA from 1 species